GACGAACGCUGGCGGCGUGCUUAACACAUGCAAGUCGAACGGAAAGGCCCUGCUUUUGUGGGGUGCUCGAGUGGCGAACGGGUGAGUAACACGUGAGUAACCUGCCCUUGACUUUGGGAUAACUUCAGGAAACUGGGGCUAAUACCGGAUAGGAGCUCCUGCUGCAUGGUGGGGGUUGGAAAGUUUCGGCGGUUGGGGAUGGACUCGCGGCUUAUCAGCUUGUUGGUGGGGUAGUGGCUUACCAAGGCUUUGACGGGUAGCCGGCCUGAGAGGGUGACCGGCCACAUUGGGACUGAGAUACGGCCCAGACUCCUACGUGCGGCAGCAGUGGGGAAUAUUGCACAAUGGGCGGACGCCUGAUGCAGCAACGCCGCGUGCGGGAUGACGGCCUUCGGGUUGUAAACCUCUUUCGCCUGUGACGAAGCGUGAGUGACGGUAAUGGGUAAAGAAGCACCGGCUAACUACGUG
rnacentral:rRNA from 1 species